rnacentral:rRNA from 1 species
GAUCCUGGCUCAGGACGAACGCUGGCGGCGUGCCUAAUACAUGCAAGUAGAACGCUGAAGAGAGGAGCUUGCUCUUCUUGGAUGAGUUGCGAACGGGUGAGUAACGCGUGGGUAACCUGCCUUGUAGCGGGGGAUAACUAUUGGAAACGAUAGCUAAUACCGCAUAACAAUGGGUGACACAUGUCAUUUAUUUGAAAGGGGCAAAUGCUCCACUACAAGAUGGACCUGCGUUGUAUUAG